GCCGGAGUUGAGAGAGGCCCGGGCUAUCCGGCGCCAGAGCAGGUCGCAGCUGGUGAAGCGCCGCAGCCAGCGGCACACCUGAGCCAGGCGGCCGAGGGCCUGCAUGUCCAGAAGAUGAAACUGAAGCAUAUGGUCACACCGUUCCUAAAUGACAGAACAGGGGAUCUUCCCAGCCCAGGAAUCGAACCCCGGUCUCCUGCAUUGCAGGCGGAUUCUUUACCAACUGAGCUACAAGGAAAGUCCUAAGCCUUCACCGUACACAACAGAAAAUGGAAUAGGAAUAAGGCAUUGAAUUCAGAGUCUUCUAGGAUCCCUUUCAAUUAAUAUAGCCACACCUAAUAAUAUACAUUUCCUCUGACCUUCAGGCAGGUCUGGUAUCUAAAUAAAAGCUGCUUCUAAACAACUAAAGUAGAUCCUGUCCUUGUCUCAACUAUUAAUACUUUCUAAGGGUUAAUAUGUAGAAUCCAUAGCCUCUUAUGCUUUUCAUAAUCUUUUUGCAAAGCUUCAAAAGGAUUUGUAGGAACUACUGUCUUGCAAGAGAAGAUAUAACAAAAGUUUAGUAAUUUCAUCAUUUUACUUCAGCUUCUAUUUCUUUUGUUAAAUUAAAUAACAGUGUGUGUGUAGUAUGUAUUAUAUGAGCCUUUUUUGUAAGU